rnacentral:rRNA from 1 species
AGUGAACGCUGGCGGUAGGCCUAACACAUGCAAGUCGAACGGCAGCACAGUAAGAGCUUGCUCUUACGGGUGGCGAGUGGCGGACGGGUGAGGAAUACAUCGGAAUCUACUUUUUCGUGGGGGAUAACGGAGGGAAACUUACGCUAAUACCGCAUACGACCUACGGGUGAAAGCAGGGGAUCUUCGGACCUUGCGCGAUUGAAUGAGCCGAUGUCGGAUUAGCUAGUUGGCGGGGUAAAGGCCCACCAAGGCGACGAUCCGUAGCUGGUCUGAGAGGAUGAUCAGCCACACUGGAACUGAGACACGGUCCAGACUCCUACGGGAGGCAGCAGUGGGGAAUAUUGGACAAAGGGCGCAAGCCUGAUCCAGCCAUACCGCGUGGGUGAAGAAGGCCUUCGGGUUGUAAAGCCCUUUUGUUGGGAAAGAAAAGCAGCAGGUUAAUACCCCGCUGUUCUGACGGUACCCAAAGAAUAAGCACCGGCUAACUUCGUG